rnacentral:rRNA from 1 species
AUUGAACGCUGGCGGCGUGCUUAACACAUGCAAGUCGAGCGGCAGCGCGGGAGCAAUCCUGGCGGCGAGCGGCGAACGGGUGAGUAAUGCUUCGGAAUCUGCCCUUCAGUGGGGAAUAACCAGUCGAAAGACUGGCUAAUACCGCAUACGAACUGAGGUUGAAAGCAGGGGAUCGCAAGACCUUGCGCUGAUGGAUGAGCCGAAGUCGGAUUAGCUUGUUGGUGGGGUAAUGGCCUACCAAGGCGACGAUCCGUAGCUGGUCUGAGAGGACGACCAGCCACACUGGGACUGAGACACGGCCCAGACUCCUACGGGAGGCAGCAGUGGGGAAUUUUGGACAAUGGGCGCAAGCCUGAUCCAGCCAUGCCGCGUGAGUGAAGAAGGCC